AAUAAACAUCUCAUGAAAUAAAACAUAAUUUGGUGACUUUAAAAACUUAGAAGAUUGUGUUUUGAUUAAAUAUUUGACGUUGCAAUGAUUAAUUUGUUCUUUUUGUGAAUUGAAAUUACCCUUAGUUAAUGUAACAUUACUGUGAAGGAUUCUGAGGUAAUUUAACAGAGUUAGAUCCAUUAAGCAGAUAACUUGUUUUUUAAAAUGUCUACGAUUUUGAAAUGUCGCGAGUAAUGUUAGUUUUACAGUUUUUGUUCGUACUAAUAAAAGUUAUUCAAAAAAUUGUCCACUAAAGUUGGAUGCGAAAUUAAUAUGACGUAUCGUAGGCAACAUCAUUGUAAUGUCUUUAUCAGUGCAGUUGGAUCAUUGAAUCGGUAAGUUAGGCUAUAUUGUAACUGUACACAGCGAGUUCCCCAGUACAACGUUCUCGCACACGAAUGACUCAUUUGAACCGCUUCAUUUAAGCUAUUGAACUUUUCAGUCAUAUGUCGUGUUGGUAGUAAAAAAUCUUGUGAAGGUGGUGAAAAAGGUAGUAAAUUCAUCUCUAUGAUUCCUGAAUAUACCCUGAUUGAAUCAUUUAAAAUAAACCACAGAGAUUGCAAGAUGUGAAUGAGCUUUGAUCAUUUAGUAAAACUGGUUAAUUCAGUUGGCCAUUGUGGGCUAAAAAGUUAGUUAAAGGUGAUAAAAAGCUUUAUUUUAUUAAAAACAUCCCUGUUUGGUAAAAUAAUUAAUGUUUUAUAUAAAUUUUUACUUAAUAAUUGUCAUUUUAAUCAACUUUUAUUAGAAAUAAUACGUUGAAGUCACUUUGGGUAAGCCACUUAAAGGUACGGUAGGCCUACGUGUGUGUACAAGUUAAGAUCAGGAUGACACCACCUCCGCCUCCUUUUGUGCCAGGAAAAACCCUGAAAAUAAACCUUAUGAAUGUAAAAUGACAGUUUUAGGAGAUGUAAGCUGCUGCUCAUUCCACCUGAUAUUUAACACCCUGUCUCUCUUGUCUUUGUCAGAUCGUUUGUUUGGAGUCUCUGUUUGUUCCAGCCAUUGUGUUCCUUCAUGCUCCUCCAGAGACUACUAUCCUGAUUGUCCGUGCCAGGGUUGUGACUCUUGCAUCUUUCACCAUGUGACGUUGUCCGGGGCCCAGGGAGUUCUUACAAACAGAUUGAUGGCAACAAUGAACAUGGAUGGUUCAGGGGUGAAGAAGGCCUUUAAAAAACACGGCUAUGUUGUGUUAUAAUAGGUGGCAAUUGCAUCAGAGGGAGAAGACUUCACAGUGCCUCCCUAUACAUGGAUGUCAGCUGACGUCAAUCACUUGUCUUCCGCCAUUUUGAGGACCUGAAGUGGUCGCAAAAGAACUAGAAGCUAUGCCUUCAAUAUGCUGUGAGCAUCAAAAUCGCUAUUUUAACAACAUGGCUCAACACAACAUGAUAUUUUGCUCGAAGUAUCGCCUAUGUCUCUACACGUGAACUUGAGCAUUGAGAACAUUGUUUGUGAACACAGAGUUAACUAAAAAGAAGGUUUUGAACAACUGACUUUGGAUGAUUUGGCGUCCGCUCACCGCUUUCUUCCCAGUCAAGAUGUAUCGAUCUCCAAUUGCGACGUAAGGAGGGAGGAGAGUAAAGAUGAUAUCUCCUAAAGCAUAGUUCCUUAAAAAUGCACGCAUAAGUCGUUGUUUUGUUGCAAGUGAAAAACAAUAUUGACCUUCUAGUUGAAAAAGGAGCCUUAUGUGAGAUUCAUUCAUUCGCAUUCGGAAAUCGAUUAUUUACGUCUGGCAGAGAUGACGAGCGGACACCAUAACAGCCAAAGUCAGUUGUACAAAACCUUUCUUUUUAGUAAACUCUGUGUACAAAAACAAUGUUCUCAAUGCCCGCGUUAAUGUG